GAUGAACGCUAGCUACAGGCUUAACACAUGCAAGUCGAGGGGAAACGAUAGAGAAAGCUUGCUUUUUCUAGGCGUCGACCGGCGCACGGGUGAGUAACGCGUAUCCAACCUGCCCAUCACUUGGGGAUAACCUUGCGAAAGUAAGACUAAUACCCAAUGAUAUCUCUAGAAGACAUCUGAAGGAGAUUCAAGGUUUAUCGGUGAAGGAUGGGGAUGCGUCUGAUUAGCUUGUUGGCGGGGUAACGGCCCACCAAGGCGACGAUCAGUAGGGGUUCUGAGAGGAAGGUCCCCCACAUUGGAACUGAGACACGAUCCAAACUCCUACGGGAGGCAGCAGUGAGGAAUAUUGGUCAAUGGACGAGAGUCUGAACCAGCCAAGUAGCGUGCAGGAUGACGGCCCUAUGGGUUGUAAACUGCUUUUAUAAGGGAAUAAAGUGAGUCUCGUGAGACUUUUUGCAUGUACCUUAUGAAUAAGGACCGGCUAAUUCCGUGCCAGCCGCCGCAGUAA
rnacentral:rRNA from 1 species